CAGAAACUGAAGUUUUCUCUCUCUAUAUUAUCGAGCGUAUUCUUGUGAGUAUUUUGAGUACACUUUGAGUAUUGUUAUACGGUGAAAGUUCAAGUUAUAGCCUAUAUCCAGUAUUCCAGUUAGAAGUACUGUCUUUCCGAGGUAAGGGAUAUUAUUUUUUUUUCGUAAUGAUAUUAUUUCUUCAAUAUCAUUAUGCUGAAAUAUUGAUCUGAAGUUUUUAUCAAAUUUGGAACUUUUGGUGUCGGAGUUACUAUUCACGUAUACGGUACUAUUCACGAAUACGAC
rnacentral:lncRNA from 1 species